rnacentral:rRNA from 1 species
UACGUAGGGACCAAGCGUUGUUCGGAUUUACUGGGCGUAAAGCGCGCGUAGGCGGCUUUGUAAGUUAGAGGUGAAAGCCCGGGGCUCAACCCCGGAAUUGCCUUUAAGACUGCAUCGCUUGAAUCCGGGAGAGGUGAGUGGAAUUCCGAGUGUAGAGGUGAAAUUCGUAGAUAUUCGGAAGAACACCAGUGGCGAAGGCGGCUCACUGGACCGGCAUUGACGCUGAGGUGCGAAAGCGUGGGGAGCAAACAGG